ACAGAGAAAGAGCAGUAAGAGACCCUAGAAGGUCUCUGGAUCUGGGUAGGAGCAGAUCAGUGAGGGGAACAGUUCAGGGAGGAAUGUCAGAAGACAUGGGGGAUGAUAUGGACGUAGAGCAGAGGAGGGAUGGCAGUCUGGGUGUUAGCAUGUCAGAAGAGGGAAUGGGAGAGUCCCAAGGAGGCACUCAGGCCUCGGGAUUUGUUCAGCCACCCCACUACCCACACUUCUCACAAAAUCCCGGGUAUUCGAUGGGAGGUACAUCGGAUUACCCUAGCUUUACCCCUUAUCCUACACACAUGCCAUACCCACCCUACUACCCACCAUAUUCACAAUACCCAAUGUAUCCACCCCCACCUUACUAUCCAAAUCCAGCAAACCCUACCUCAGAAAAUGUUGCACCUCCUCCACCAUCAGCAGAACCCACAGUUCCAGCAACCC
rnacentral:lncRNA from 1 species